rnacentral:rRNA from 1 species
UACGUAGGGUGCAAGCGUUGUCCGGAAUUAUUGGGGCGUAAAGAGCUCGUAGGCGGUCAGUCGCGUCUGCUGUGAAAACUCGGGGCUUAACUCCGGGCCUGCAGUGGGUACGGGCUGACUAGAGUGCGGUAGGGGAGACUGGAAUUCCUGGUGUAGCGGUGAAAUGCGCAGAUAUCAGGAGGAACACCGGUGGCGAAGGCGGUUCUCUGGGCCUGUUCUGACGCUGAGGAGCGAAAGCGUGGGGAGCAAACAGG